rfam:Deltaproteobacteria bacterium GWC2_42_11 gwc2_scaffold_4402, whole genome shotgun sequence.
GAAUAGUUUUAUAAGUGUGUAUUGUCUUGAUGUUAAGGGAAGUGAGGUGCAAGUCCUCCGCUGCCCCGCAGCCGUGAAGGGAACGAAAGCCCAAAUACAACCACUGUUAUGGGUAAUGCCAUAAUGGGAAGGUGGGCAAGUAGAUAGCCCUUAAGCCGGAAGACCUAUCAGACAAGAACAAAAAAU